UACGUAGGGCGCAAGCGUUGUCCGGAAUUAUUGGGCGUAAAGAGCUCGUAGGCGGCUUGUCACGUCGGGUGUGAAAGCCCGGGCUUAACCCCGGGUCUGCAUUCGAUACGGGCAGGCUAGAGUGUGGUAGGGGGAGAUCGGAAUUCCUGGUGUAGCGGUGAAAUGCGCAGAUAUCAGGAGGAACACCGGUGGCGAAGGCGGGUCUCUGGGCAGUAACUGACGCUGAGGAGCGAAAGCAUGGGGAGCGAACAGG
rnacentral:rRNA from 1 species